rnacentral:sRNA from 1 species
GCUGUUAGCACGUCGUGUGGUCAGGUGUCAGGACAAGCGGGCGUGAGCGCGCCUCCGCCCUGGAGAAUGGAUGUGCUACAGCUGUGCGCGGCGUGAUCAAGCACCUCGGGUGGACGACACACCUCCCAGUGGCCAGCUGGGGCCUGAGGGCUGGAAGUACUUGCCCGGCUCGUCUCUCUGUAGGUUUGGUCAUCGGCCUUGCAGCUGCCCUGGUGCUUGCAGAUUGCAGUUUGAUGGACUAGGCAGUUUUCAUCUCUUACAUAGCCAGCGGUUCAGCACUGAGUCAUGCUUGCUUCUGCUACGCACUGGUUUGUUCUAUUCCAGUUUCCACAUAUAUCGUUUUGGUGACAUCUCUGCGUUAUCAUUUAUUUAUAUGGAGUGUAUUUUCUCCAAAACUUCUCUACGAGGGAAUGCAUCUGCUCAUUACAGCUGCUGUCUGUGUAUUCUUCACGGCAAUGGAUCAAACCAGACUCACACAAUCUUAGACUAAGCUGAACACUGGAAAAAUAAUACAUGCGUAAAGUCUGCUGUUAUUCUAAAAGGAAAGAUGUGAUUUCAACAAAGUUGAUGAAUACCUUUCUUUGACUACUGUACCUGAAUUUAGACUAAGCAGUAAAUAGUUUAAUAAAAGAUCACUUUAAUACA